rnacentral:lncRNA from 1 species
CCUGGGUUUCCGAAAAUGGGGCGUGGCCCACAUGUAGCAGAGGUGCAGAGAAAUACAGCCCCCAGCUUGGCUGGGACAGGAUGGGCGUGGUCAUGGCCCAUUGCAAGCGGCAGGUGAAGUGCCUGGGCGAGGUCUGGGCAAAGGGAAGUGGACGGCCCAGGUGAAGAGAAGCGAGGCAGAAAUUAGGGAGGGGGCGUGGCCGAUUUAGAGAAGCAAUCAGAGUGAAUAGGGCGUAGCUGUGGGGACAGGCGUGACAUGGAAGAGCAUAGGGGCCAGUCAGGGAGGAGACCUUGGAGGGAGAGAAAUGGAGGGUGCCUGAGGGGGAUGUGCUAAAGCCAAAGCACAUUUGCCCCCUCCCAGCGGGUAGGGGAGUGGUGGAGGCGGAGCACAGAGGUGUGGCCUGUCAGAGAAGGCGUUGUUACGACAGCACAGAGAGUACGGCCCUAGGAGCAGGACCCUGCACACAGCUGAGCUCAGAGGCUCCAGUCUGGCCACGAGAAUGCAAUGGGAGGUAUUCUUCAUUGAUCUUACUCGAAGUUGAGAACAUGUAUUUUGACUCUGAGAAAUGUUUGGAGGUCAACUGCAGUGAGGUCUCUAUACCACAGAGUGUUGUUGGCGUCUCACAUGGCCAUUCAUCAGCUCAAUACAAACAAGUCUUCACGGAGGUGGAGUUUCCUCCUCACCUGUUGCUAAACCAGGCAGCGUGGAUUGGCAUAUUCACUGACUUCAUGGCACGAAGGCCUACAAAAGCGGAACAACUUUUCACCAGUGCAAAAAUGUUCCAAAAGAUACUCUCUCUGUCCAAUACACUUGUAAGUGCAUUCUAGAAUAUAAAAAAUAGAGAGAGAUAAAUGUUCUGUUGAAAGAUAAUCUCCCAAAAUAUAAGUUUUUAUGUAAGACAGUGCUCUCAAGUCAUAAAUGGUAAAUUCUUCUGAAAGUCACAGAGGAAAUUACUCUUAAGACCUCUGUCUUGUUAAGUUAUCAUAGUAAUAAAAUCUCAACCUACUAAGGUAACUUUCUAAACAUGUCAGAGCUUGAAAGUCUCUUGUAAACCUCUAAAUACAAAGAAAACCUAAGUUUAUUUAUUGAAGUUCAAGCUGUAGAAAUCUGACAGCUUUGAGGACUUUAAAAGAUACUGAAUCAACUGCUAUAAAAGGAAAACAGUCUUGACAAUUUUAAUUCAUAUAGUAUUACAACUGAAGAAACUAUUUGAUGAUUUAUGAAGGGCACAUUUGCCGGCUGUGUUUUGGAGUUUUUGCAUGAAAAGUGAAUUUGUACUCAGACUGUUUGCAUCUUCAAAGACCCAUGAGCUUGGCUGUAGGGGCAUGCAACAUUAGGUUUGGAAAUAUAUGAAAUAAAUAUUGCUAUGCCUUAAGAAUGUGAUUUAACUGUCAAUUUGCUUUGAUACGUAGGUUUAAAGUUUUGGGUUAUUUUAUAUAUGCUAUUCAUGUAUAUCUGUAUUGGAGGCAUCCACUCGCUGCUUUAGAAGCUCCUGGAGAGUAGAAAUUGUCUCCAUGUAGCUCUCAGCAAUUAAUAAACACUGAAGGCAACUGGG